GACGAACGCUGGCGGCGUGCUUAACACAUGCAAGUCGAACGGAAAGGCCCUGCUUUUGUGGGGUGCUCGAGUGGCGAACGGGUGAGUAACACGUGAGUAACCUGCCCUUGACUUUGGGAUAACUUCAGGAAACUGGGGCUAAUACCGGAUAGGAGCUCCUGCUGCAUGGUGGGGGGUGGAAAGUUUCGGCGGGUGGGGAUGGACUCGCGGCUUAUCAGCUUGUUGGUGGGGGAGUGGCUGACCAAGGCUUUGACGGGUAGCCGGCCUGAGAGGGUGACCGGCCACAUUGGGACUGAGAGACGGCCCAGACUCCUACGGGAGGCAGCAGUGGGGAAUAUUGCACAAUGGGCGGAAGCCUGAUGCAGCAACGCCGCGUGCGGGAUGACGGCCUUCUGGUUGUAAACCGCUUUCGCCUGUGACGAAGCGUGAGUGACGGUAAUGGGUAAAGAAGCACCGGCUAACUACGUG
rnacentral:rRNA from 1 species